rnacentral:snoRNA from 1 species
ACCCUCCAGACUCCUCACCCCCCGAUCUCAAGAUUGGUCUGAGUGACUCAAACAGGAGGGGAAGUGGAACUGAACUACUGAACUUGGAGUCUUUAAUAACAUACAUGUUCCUUUCAAACAUAA